UUUAAUUCGAUGCAACGCGAAAACCUUACCCACCUUUGACAUGGCAGGAAUCCCGAAGAGAUUUGGGAGUGCUCGAAAGAGAACCUGCACACAGGUGCUGCAUGGCUGUCGCCAGCUCGUGUCGUGAGAUGUUGGGUUAAGUCCCGCAACGAGCGCAACCCUUGCCAUUAGUUGCUACGAAAGGGCACUCUAAUGGGACUGCCGGUGACAAACCGGAGGAAGGUGGGGAUGACGUCAAGUCCUCAUGGCCCUUAUAGGUGGGGCUACACACGUCAAUACAAUGGCCGGUACAGAGGGUAGCCAACCCGCGAGGGGGAGCCAAUCCCACAAAGCCGGUCGUAGUCCGGAUCGCAGUCUGCAACUCGACUGCGUGAAGUCGGAAUCGCUAGUAAUCGCGGAUCAGCAUGUCGCGGUGAAUACGUUCCCGGGUCUU
rnacentral:rRNA from 1 species